rnacentral:tRNA from 1 species
CAGAACGUAGCUAAACAGUAUAGCAUCUCCCUUACACCGAGAAAAUGCCCGUGCAAAUCGGGCCGCACUGA